rnacentral:rRNA from 1 species
UGGGGAAUAUUGGACAAUGGGCGAAAGCCUGAUCCAGCCAUGCCGCGUGUGUGAAGAAGGUCUUCGGAUUGUAAAGCACUUUAAGUUGGGAGGAAGGGCAGUAAGCGAAUACCUUGCUGUUUUGACGUUACCGACAGAAUAAGCACCGGCUAACUCUGUGCCAGCAGCCGCGGUAACACAGAGGGUGCAAGCGUUAAUCGGAAUUACUGGGCGUAAAGCGCGCGUAGGUGGUUCGUUAAGUUGAAUGUGAAAGCCCCGGGCUCAACCUGGGAACUGCAUCCAAAACUGGCGAGCUAGAGUAGGGCAGAGGGUGGUGGAAUUUCCUGUGUAGCGGUGAAAUGCGUAGAUAUAGGAAGGAACACCAGUGGCGAAGGCGACCACCUGGGCUCAUACUGACACUGAGGUGCGAAAGCGUGGUGAGCAAACAGG